CAAUGAAAAAAGCAUGGUAAUGUGCAUAUAAAUUGAAUUGGGUCACUAGGCUUGUGCUCUCUGAUGCCAUUUGGCUUAGAUUUGAGGGCAUGGUUCUACAGCAAAAUA